UGGCAUUUAAUGGUGACCGUUGGAUCUCCGAUCAUGGCAAUGUGAAUGCGGUACGGCACUCUCUUUGCUUGAUCCUACCUGUGAUCGUCACCGGUGAUUCUGCGAUUUUGUCAUUUCAUCUUCUGGUGCCAGAGUCCCUGAUUCGCUUUGCGUGCUGUUUUUGGUUUGGACUGUAUGCGAGUUGGAGCCAUCCGGAUCCAAGUGACACUGGUACAUUUCGUGACUUGCGUUGAAUUCUGAAAAUAGCUGGUUUCGUUUGAGUAAUUGCUUCAACUUUAGAAAUAUCUUAUGAUCCAUUGCAAUUGAUGCUAGUGAACAUGGGGUUGUCAGACUUCCAGUGCGUCCUUAUAAUUU